rnacentral:rRNA from 1 species
UACGUAGGGUGCGAGCGUUGUCCGGAAUUAUUGGGCGUAAAGAGCUCGUAGGCGGUUUGUUGCGUCUAUCGUGAAAACCUGCAGCUUAACUGUGGGCUUGCGGUGGAUACGGGCAGACUUGAGUUCGGUAGGGGAGACUGGAAUUCCUGGUGUAGCGGUGAAAUGCGCAGAUAUCAGGAAGAACACCCGUGGCGAAAGCGGCUCUCUGGAACGGUACUGACGCUGAGACGCGAAAGCGUGGGGAGCGAACAGG